rnacentral:rRNA from 1 species
AGUGAACGCUGGCGGUAGGCCUAACACAUGCAAGUCGAACGGCAGCACAGGAGAGCUUGCUCUCUGGGUGGCGAGUGGCGGACGGGUGGGGAAUACAUCGGAAUCUACUCUGUCGUGGGGGAUAACGUAGGGAAACUUACGCUAAUACCGCAUACGACCUACGGGUGAAAGCAGGGGAUCUUCGGACCUUGCGCGAUUGAAUGAGCCGAUGUCGGAUUAGCUAGUUGGCGGGGUAAAAGCCCACCAAGGCGACGAUCCGUAGCUGGUCUGAGAGGAGGAGCAGCCACACUGGAACGGGGACACGGUCCAGACCCCUAAGGGAGGCAGCAGUGGGGAAUAUUGGACAAUGGGCGCAAGCCUGAUCCAGCCAUACCGCGUGGGUGAAGAAGGCCUUCGGGUUGUAAAGCCCUUUUGUUGGGAAAGGAAUCCAGCUGGUUAAUACCCGGUUGGGAUAACGGUACCCAAAGAAUAAGCACCGGCUAACUUCGUGCCAGCCGCCGCCGUAA